rnacentral:rRNA from 1 species
AUUGAACGCUGGCGGCAGGCCUAACACAUGCAAGUCGAGCGAGUGGCGGACGGGGGAGAAAUGUCUGGGAAACUGCCCGAUAGAGGGGGAUAAAUACUGGAGACGGUAGCUAAUACCGCAUACCAUCGGAUGUACCCAUAUGGGAUUAGCUUGUAGGUGAGGUAAUGGCUCACCUAGGCGACGAUCCCUAGCUGUUGUGAGAGGAUGAACAGCAAAACUGGAACGGAGACACGGCCAGGACUCCUACGGGAGGCAGCAGUGGGGAAUAUUGCACAAUGGGCGAAAGCCUGAUGCAGCCAUGCCGCGGGUAUGAAGAGGGCCCUAGGGUUGUAAAGUACUUUAAGUGGGGAGGCGGUACCGUCAGAAGAAGCACCGGCUAACUCCGUGCCAGCAGCCGCGGUAAUUC